rnacentral:rRNA from 1 species
CAGCCGUAAACUAUGCUCGCUAGGUGUCAGGCAUGGCGCGACCGUGUCUGGUGCCGCAGGGAAGCCGUGAAGCGAGCCACCUGGGAAGUACGGCCGCAAGGCUGAACUUAAGGAUUGGCGGGGGAGCACCACAACGGGUGGAGCCUGCGGUUUAAUUGGACUCAACGCCGGGAAGCUCACCGGAUAAGACAGCGGAAUGAUUGCCGGGCUGAAGACUCUGCAUGACUAGCUGAGAGGAGGUGCAUGGCGUAGACGUCU